rnacentral:lncRNA from 1 species
AAAAAAAAAGAAGAGAAAUAGCAAAGCAGCAGACGACAGCACACAGCAGCAAGCAAUAGGCAACGGAUGAGAGGGUGAGUGGGUGGCAGAGAGGAAGGUGGAAUGGAAGGAGAGCAAGCAAGUGUCUGUUCGUCGUUCUGUCGUCGUGUCCGUCAGUCGGCAAAUAUGUUGCGCAUUUGGAAGUGAACGAGUAAACGGGAUAGCGAUAGGCGAACGAGAGAGCGAGCGCGACUGCUGUUGGCUGUUGUAACUGUUGUUUUGCCGAUGUUGUUGUUGUUGUUGGGGGAGUUGGCUGCUGGGGCCGAGUGCAAGGCUUAUCAAUCCAAAAGGUGAGGCAGUUUUGCAGCUAUUCCCCGGCCAAAGCUGCUGGCCUUACCUGCCGUUGAAUAUUCCCCUGCCCGAACUCUAGUAAAAUGCGUGCAAAGGCAAAGGCAAAAGCCAAAAGCAGAAAAAAUACAAGAAAAAAAAACACUCACAAAGCAAAGGCAAAGGCAAAAGCAGAAGCAGUAAACGAUGAACUUUGCUUGUCUUGCUUUUGUUGUUGCUCGACUCGACUCGACUCGGCUCGGCUCUGCCUGCGGCGCGGCUACGGCUGCGGCUGGUUUGAGUUUAAGGCAGAGACACCUUUCCACGUGCACGGGCAGGCAGCGUCUCUCCUCGGCCCCUCCCUCACCUAUCACUGCACGCCUGGCAAAAUAAUCAGCGAAAUACGUAGGAGAAAAAGAGCGUGCAAAAUUAUGCUGAGUGCUUGGCUGGCUGCCACACAAAGUGAAAGAAAGGCAACG